GACGAACGCUGGCGGCGUGCUUAACACAUGCAAGUCGAACGGAAAGGCCCUGCUUUUGUGGGGUGCUCGAGUGGCGAACGGGUGAGUAACACGUGAGUAACCUGCCCUUGACUUUGGGAUAACUUCAGGAAACUGGGGCUAAUACCGGAUAGGAGCUCCUGCUGCAUGGUGGGGGUUGGAAAGUUUCGGCGGUUGGGGAUGGACUCGCGGCUUAUCAGCUUGUUGGUGGGGUAGUGGCUUACCAAGGCUUUGACGGGUAGCCGGCCUGAGAGGGUGACCAGCCACAUUGGGACUGAGAUACGGCCCAGACUCCUACGGGAGGCAGCAGUGGGGAAUAUUGCACAAUGGGCGGAAGCCUGAUGCAGCAACGCCGGGGGCGGGAUGACGGCCUUCGGGGUGUAAACCGCUUUCGCCUGUGACGAAGCGUGAGUGACGGUAAUGGGUAAAGAAGCACCGGCUAACUACGUG
rnacentral:rRNA from 1 species